GGGCUCGCUUCGGCAACAUAUAUACUAAAAUUGGAACAAUACACAGAAGAUUACCAUGCUCCCUGCAGGAGGAUGACACACAAGUUUGUGAAAAUAUCCAUAGUUUA